UACAGAGGGUGCGAGCGUUGUCCGGAAUUACUGGGCGUAAAGGGCGCGUAGGCGGCCUGAUAAGUAGGGGGUGAAAUUCCGUGGCUCAACCACGGAACUGCCUUCUAGACUGCCAGGCUUGAGCACGGUAGAGGCAGAUGGUAUUCCCGGUGUAGCGGUGGAAUGCGUAGAGAUCGGGAAGAACACCAGUGGCGAAGGCGGUCUGCUGGGCCGUUGCUGACGCUGAUGCGCGACAGCGUGGGGAGCAAACAGG
rnacentral:rRNA from 1 species